CAGAUGGCUCCAACUGUUUGGAGCUUCUACUAAGGAGCACUGUGAAUUCUAAAAAAAUGCUCCUUCUUUUGUCAUAGUUUCUUGUGCAUUGUCAGUGUAUCUGUUCAACUUCAAUUCAUACAUGAUUUCAACGUAAUUUUUUAUGUUUGAUCUGGUUACUUGUGUGAAAUUGGCAAGAGAUGAGCUUCUUUUAUUGUUUGAAACAGCAAAAGCUUUUACUAGGCAAUUGGAACAGCUAUUGGAUUUAAGUGUCAAUUCAAGGAUUGAUUGGAUUUAAUCUAAGAAGCACAGACAUAGGACAUGACAUGGACUCUCCGACAUGCAAAAUUUUCAAAAUAUGUAAGAUACUACACGUGGGGGGCACGUGCAAAAUAUAUAAUUUCAUAUAUUUAUUAUGUCAUAUAUAAGGAU